rnacentral:rRNA from 1 species
GCUCCAAUAGCGUAUAUUAAAGUUGUUGCAGUUAAAAAGCUCGUAGUUGAAACUCUGGCUGAUCGAUCCUCGAGCUCUGUAGCCGAGGACUCGACAGUCAUCCGCUUGCAAAUAUGUGUUCGCCUUUAACCGGGUGACCAUAUGAGCAAGCAUUUUACCUUGAGAAAAACAGAGUGUUCCAGGCAGGUUUGUCCGGAAUG